CUGUUUUAUUUUGUUGCCUAGUAUAUGUGCAAUGUGUAUCGCUUCUCCUUUAAGCAUUCGCGCUCAGUCUCACUGUGAAUGCAGACGGGAAGCACGGGAGUGAGAGAGUAGGCCUAUCGGUGUGUUUGUACUAAUUUUGCCUCAUACUACUCUUCUUUAAAGGGGAAUAAAUUCCAUCACUCAUCUCAUCCAUGUGUGGUCGUGCUUCUGUUCCGAGGGUACUGUUUGACAUCUGCUA